CACAUCUCGUUGGGAGAAACCGCUUCGAUGCGGCGCCGAAGGAGCAACCGCCCCGGAAACUCUCAGGCAAAAGGACCAGCGAGACCUA
rnacentral:ncRNA from 2 species